UGCCUGACCUUGUGAUCCGCCCACCUUGGCCUCCCAAAGUGGUGUGAUUACAGGUGUGAGCCACUGUGUCUGACCAGUUGUGUGUUUUAUGUAAUUAACACACUCUCUCUGAUGCAAAACUUCGAGUAAGGGAGUGAUUUAUUUGUGUGGCAGGAUCGUGUACCUUCCAGAGACCUGCUGAACUCAUAAUGAGCCAUUGGUUUCCCGUUAGUCCACUUUUAAAGGAAAAUUCCUUUUCAACUAACUUUCAGAGCUCUUGUAACUUGCUGUCAUAGUAACUUGUAUGUUUAUUAGAGACUUUCUUAUGUGUAGGAGGAUGCCCAGCAGGAGUUUGGCUGGAAGAUGAUUCAUACAGUUGUUUUCAGGCCCUCAAAGAGUGCAAUGUUGUUGUCAGCCUUCCUGGGUCAGGGAAUACAAGUUUUGUUUAUGACCUUUAUUACUUUAAAUGAGUACACUCAGAUAUGUCUUAAAGAUGAGUAGUAAGCUGCUAGCAUAUGUUGAACUUUGAUCCCUUUGUACAAAAUGACUUGGAAAAUUAUACCCUAAAGUUUGUGGAAAUCUGUGUUUUGUAACGUUUACAUUACUGUCUUCUCAAAUUAAGGAUAUGAGUCUAAGUAUCUGCCUAUAUCAAGCACCUUCCAAAGCUUCUUUAGUUCUGAAUAGUUUACUGUAAACUCCAAUACACGUAUUCCUUGCUUUGCAAAAUAAAUGCAUUCUUAAAAUCAGUAUGUGAGUAGAAUCAUAUUUUAGGUGGGCUAAGGGAGUUCAUGAUUCAAAGGCUAGCAUUUUGAAAUGUUACAGCAAGCCUAAGUGCUGGUCUUUAAGUGUAUAAAUGGAAUAGCAUCUGUAGUGGGUUCACAAUGGCUGAUGAAUCCUAGAGCCUUCAUUUAUAAACUAAAAAUGGAGCUUGUCAGUUUUUGAUAGCCAGAGUAGUGAUUUUCGUAAACAAAGCCGCUGUAAAAAAUGGCUCAUUAAGUGUUUCAGAUGUCAAUGAUAAUUUCCAAAAUCAGCUUUUAGGGUUAUAUUUUCCUGAGACCAAGUCUCACUUAGAUUUUUUUAUCCCUCACCUUGAAUGAAAGGAAACAGAAGGAAAUUUCUUUGCGAAAAAAAAGACUUGCUGUUUUUUAGUAGUGACUAUUGAAGUGGGAAAGGGGAAAAUAUUUUGUUUUAUUUUGAAUUAGGCAGUGAAAUUAAGGCUAAUUCAACUUAUGAAAACUUCCUUCCACUUACCUUGAAUGGAGAAUUAGACCUUUUCAUUAACAAAAAUUGUCAAGUGCUUAGCCAAGCAAAUAACAUUUGCUUGUAGCAUCCCUUGCUUGUAGUACUUCCAUUAGUUAAUUUCCUUGUGUGCUGUUUCAUAUAAUGUCUUAAUAAGGUUAUGCUUAAUUUCUUAUAAAGUCCUAUGCACUGUUGAGACUAUUAUUGUUGAUGGUUUUCUAUUUCAUUUUUUUGCCCUUAGGUCUGGCCUGCCUUGGUUUUCUUUCUCCUGGCCAUGGAGGGGCUUUAUGACCUGUGCCAUUGUGUUAUGGGUCCUUCUGGGAACCCCUGCCAGAUACAUGUCUGCUAUAAUGUAUAAGAAAUUGUCUUUGCUGACCUCUUCCUUGUGAAUGAAAUUCUCUGGAUGGAAGAGAAUUUUUUUUCUACUCUGCUAGAUAUCUUUACAAUUUGGUUUGGAAUUUCAGUACCACUAACAUUUUUUGGUGCAUAUUUUGGAAACAAGGAAAAGUGUACAUAUAUGACCACAUUGGGAAACCUUUAGAAGAAACAUACAUUGGAUACCUCUCCCAGGAUCAGACUACCUGCAGAAUUCAAUCAGAUGGACUCUCACACUAGUUUGCAGGCGACUGUCUCUGGCUCUGUUGCUCAUCCUGUUUGCUCAGUAAGAGAGCCUGGUGGUUUUCAUUUAAUAAAUGUACAAAUCUUGAGAGUUGGAGAAUCAGUAGCCUACCUCAAAAACUGACAUGUUUUGUGUUUUUGAGAAAGCUGCUUUCAUUGCUAUGACGUCUGGCUAACAAAGAUCUUUUUCAUUUUGUUUCAGGGACGGUUGGAUUUUUUUCCUGUUUCUGGUUUAUUACUAAAAUCUACAGUGUGCUGAAGGUGGAGUAAAGUAUUUUCCCGAAGGAUUCCAAGCACAUCUCCCUUGCUCUUGAGUAUCUGUAUAUCUAUAUGAACAUCAAUGAAGAUACAUAUGUGUGCCCCUAAUUACAUAAAUUUUAAGCACGUAUAAAUGUAAAAUCUCA